rnacentral:RNase_P_RNA from 1 species
AGCGCAGGCCGCCUUAUCGUUCCCGAAUUUAAUUCGGGAGAGGAAAGUCCGGACACCAUAGGGAUGCAUAGCGGCUAACGGCCGUCACCCUCCAUAGCCUCGGCUCGGGAGGGGAGGACAAGUGCAACAGAAAGGAUGUACAGGUAAUGCUGUAGUGAAAUCAGGUAAACUCUAUGCGGUGAAAUGCCACGUAAACCUGUGUCCCGAUAGCUAUCGGGAAAGGGUUCCCGCCCGAUGCAGGAGGGUAGGCAGAUUGAGCGUUUCGGUAACGGAACGUCUAGAUAAAUGAUAAGGCCCCGAACUAGCUUCGGGGACAGAACCCGGCUUAUAGGCCUGCAUUUUUU